rnacentral:rRNA from 1 species
CCCUUAGAUGUUCUGGGCUGCACGCGCGCUACACUGAUGCGCUCAACGAGUUAUUUCCUUGCCCGGAAGGGUUGGGUAACCUUCUGAAAACGCAUCGUGAUGGGGAUAGAUUAUUGUAAUUAUUAAUCUUCAACGAGGAAUUCCUAGUAAGCGCGAGUCAUCAGCUCGUGCUGAUUACGUCCCUGCCCUUUGUACACACCGCCCGUCGCUCCUACCGAUUGAAUGAUUUAGUGAGGACUUCGGACUGGGACCGAUGCGGCUUUCGGGCUGCGUCGGUAUUCUGGAAAGAUGUCCAAACUGUAUCAUUUAGAGGAAGUAAAAGUCGUAACA